rnacentral:rRNA from 1 species
GACGAACGCUGGCGGCGUGCUUAACACAUGCAAGUGGAGCGACGAACCGGGCUUCGGCCCGGGGCAAAGCCGCGAACGGGUGAGUAUCACGUGGGUAACCUGCCCCGAUGACCGGGAUAACCCGAGGAAACUCGAGCUAAUACCGGAUGUGCUCCCAAUCCAUCAGGGUUGGAAGUAAAGGAAGCUUCGGCCUCCGCAUUGGGAUGGGCCCGCGGCCCAUUAGCUUGUUGGUGAGGUACCGGCUCACCAAGGCCACGAUGGGUAGCUGGUCUGAGAGGACGAUCAGCCACACUGGGACGGAGACACGGCCCAGACUCCUACGGGAGGCAGCAGUGGGGAAUCUUGCGCAAUGCGCGAAAGUGUGACGCAGCAACGCCGCGUGAGGGAAGAAGGCCUUCGGGUUGUAAACCUCUUUCAGGAGGGACGAAGGUUCAGGCGCGAAUAGCGUCCUGGACUGACGGUACCUCCAGAAGAAGCCCCGGCUAACUACGUGCCAGCCGCCGCGGUAAAAC